AAUUAUCGAAAAAUUACCAAAAAUAGCAAAAUCCUAACGAUCACACCGAAAUAAAAUAUGAAAUAAAAGAAGUAAGUUGCCAAAAAUUUGGCUCAAUCUGGAUUCUUUAACGUCUAGAAAAAGGGAAAAGAAAUAUUACCAUAAAUAGUAAAAAAAUAACUAAAAAUUGAAUUUCGGAAAGAAAAAUAGCGAAUUUUGAGCUCAAAAUUGAUGCUCACCCAGCAUAGCUGGUGACCACAACGUGCGCGCCGAAGAGAGCUUUCCGGAUUGGGGUCGUAAUAGCGAUUCUGAUAACGGUAGCCAAAGUUAUGACCAAAUUACCAAAAACGUAUCAAAAUUACCCAAAUUAAGUAAAGAUUGCAUUUAUUUUCCAUCUUUGCGCUUAUCCACCAUCUCAUGGUAUCUCAGCGUCAUCAACAAACUAUCUGACAUAUCAGCGUCACUCGACUUGGAUCCUCCUGCAUCAAAUAGUCACCCUAUUUGAAAAACUUCAAGGAAGUUUCUUUUCAUUGUGAUAAGAGUAUAAGCUAGCUAGCAAAACUUAAAAUUUCCUCACUACAUUUGCAAUCUUGUUAGACCAAGCACAUUUAUGAGUUCUAGGAUUUUCUUUGAGUAACAUUGUAUCUAAGCUAAAACUGUGAUAAUGUAAGCACAACACACUCAUAGUUUAUGCAUCCAUAUAUGCACUUGUAUCUGUAUGUAUACAUACCUACACAAUUGCAGGCAAUCGUACACAUACACAUACUUAUUUUUAAAAUUUGGGAUUCCAUUUUAAAAUGUCAAUUUUUUUAGGGGGGGUAACUUAAUC
rnacentral:lncRNA from 1 species